AAAAAAAACAAACCCUGGUUUUCGUGCCCAACGUUUAACCAUCCGUCUUAUUUAAAAAAAUUAUGAAAAAAAUUAAAAAGACAAGUCACGUAUAAAAUAUUAAUCAUGUUUUAUCAUCUAACAACAAUGAAAAUACAAAUUAUAAAAAAAUUUCAUAUAAGACGGACAGUCAAAGUUGGACACGGAAACCCAGGGUUUGCCUUUUU
rnacentral:pre_miRNA from 1 species